UUACGGUCAAAUCACACUGAAACACCGGUUCUUGUUCGAUCACCGAAGUUAAGCAUCGUAGAGCCAGGUCAAAACUACUUUAGAUGGGGGGACGCUUGGGGAACACCUGGUACUGUAAG